GAUGAACGCUAGCGGCAGGCUUAACACAUGCAAGUCGAGGGGCAGCACGUCUUCGGAUGGUGGCGACCGGCGCACCGGUGAGUAACGCGUAUGCAAUCUACCUUUUACAGGGGCAUAGCCCGGGGAAACCCGGAUUAAUAUCCUAUAGUACCAUUACAUAGCGUUAUAUUAUGGUUAAAGUUUCGGCGGUAAAAGAUGAGCAUGCGGCCUAUUAGCUUGAUGGUAAGGUAACGGCUUACCAUGGCUAUGAUAGGUAGGGGUCCUGAGAGGGAGACCCCCCACACUGGUACUGAGACACGGACCAGACUCCUACGGGAGGCAGCAGUGAGGAAUAUUGGACAAUGGGCGCAAGCCUGAUCCAGCCAUGCCGCGUGCAGGAAGACGGCCCUAUGGGUUGUAAACUGCUUUUAUACGGGAAGAAACACCCCUUCGUGAAGGGACUUGACGGUACCGUAUGAAUAAGGAUCGGCUAACUCCGUGCCAGCAGCCGCGGUAAUACGGAGGAUCCG
rnacentral:rRNA from 1 species